rnacentral:rRNA from 1 species
CCUACGGGAGGCAGCAGUGGGGAAUCUUGCGCAAUGGGCGAAAGCCUGACGCAGCCAUGCCGCGUGAAUGAUGAAGGUCUUAGGAUUGUAAAAUUCUUUCACCGAGGACGAUAAUGACGGUACUCGGAGAAGAAGCCCCGGCUAACUUCGUGCCAGCAGCCGCGGUAAUACGAAGGGGGCUAGCGUUGCUCGGAAUUACUGGGCGUAAAGGGAGCGUAGGCGGAUAGUUUAGUCAGAGGUGAAAGCCCAGGGCUCAACCUUGGAAUUGCCUUUGAUACUGGCUAUCUUGAGUACGGAAGAGGUAUGUGGAACUCCGAGUGUAGAGGUGAAAUUCGUAGAUAUUCGGAAGAACACCAGUGGCGAAGGCGACAUACUGGUCCGUUACUGACGCUGAGGCUCGAAAGCGUGGGGAGCAAACAGGAUUAGAUACCCUGGUAGUCCACGCUGUAAACGAUGAGUGCUAGUUGUCGGCAUGCAUGCAUGUCGGUGACGCAGCUAACGCAUUAAGCACUCCGCCUGGGGAGUACGGUCGCAAGNUUAAAACGUCAAAGGAAUUGACGGCUGAGACGUGCGAGACGACGACGAGGGAGAGG